rnacentral:rRNA from 1 species
GAUGAACGCUGGCGGCGUGCCUAAUACAUGCAAGUCGAGCGAACGGACGAUAAGCUUGCUUCUCUGAUGUUAGCGGCGGACGGGUGAGUAACACGUGUAUAACCUACCUAUAAGACUGGGAUAACUUCGGGAAACCGGAGCUAAUACCGGAUGAUAUUUUGAACCGCAUUGUUCAAAAUUGAAAGACGUUCUUUCUGUCACUUAUAGAUUGAUCCGCGCUGCAUUAGCUAGUUGUUAAGGUAACGGCUUACCAAGGCAACGAUGCAUAGCCGACCUGAGAGGGUGAUCGGCCACACUGGAACUGAGACACGGUCCAGACUCCUACGGGAGGCAGCAGUAGGGAAUCUUCCGCAAAGGGCGAAAGCCUGACGGAGCAACACCGCGUGAGUGGUGAAGGUCUUCGGAUCGUAAAACUCUGUUAUUAGGGAAGAACAUAUGUGUAAGUAACUGUGCACAUCUUGACGGUACCUAAUCAGAAAGCCACGGCUAACUACGUG